rnacentral:rRNA from 1 species
UUCAUGGAGAGUUUGAUCCUGGCUCAGGACGAACGCUGGCGGCGUGCCUAAUACAUGCAAGUCGAGCGGACCGACGGGAGCUUGCUCCCUUAGGUCAGCGGCGGACGGGUGAGUAACACGUGGGUAACCUGCCUGUAAGACUGGGAUAACUCCGGGAAACCGGGGCUAAUACCGGAUGCUUGAUUGAACCGCAUGGUUCCAAUCAUAAAAGGUGGCUUUUAGCUACCACUUACAGAUGGACCCGCGGCGCAUUAGCUAGUUGGUGAGGGCUUGUCAGCCACCGCGGGGUUUACCAGACGAAUCAAAAUGAGCAGGAAGAAUCGCAUGAAGAGCCGGAAUGGUCGGGAAAGCGCGCAACAUUGAUCUUAUUUUUGGCAACUGUUGCCGUCGCCUACAUUUCCGAGCACCUCGUCCAUACGUUUGAUACGGUGGCCGAA